AAUAAAACCUUUCUUCACUUCACAGUCUCCAGUAUAAAAGCGUCCACGAGGGGGAGACCUUGUAAUUUCCAGAAUUCAAUUUCUCGGGAUUCUAUUUUUUCAUUUUCCCUCUAUUUUCAAAAAGGUCUCCGCGCGAGAGAGGAGAAAAAGAUCUCGAAGUUUCUUGGACUGAAACCCUAACUUUCCCGAGAAAACAAGCAAAUCAUGCCGCGAGAAAUCAUCACUCUGCAAGUGGGACAAUGCGGCAACCAGAUCGGAAUGGAGUUCUGGAAGCAGCUGUGUCUCGAGCACGGCAUCAGCAAAGAAGGCAUUCUCGAGGAUUUCGCUACUCAGGGUGGUGACAGGAAGGAUGUGUUCUUCUAUCAAGCUGAUGAUCAGCACUACAUACCACGAGCUCUACUGAUUGAUUUGGAGCCGAGAGUAAUUAAUGGUAUUCAAAACAGUGAAUAUCGAAACCUCUACAACCAUGAGAACAUAUUUGUUUCAGAUCACGGAGGGGGUGCAGGAAAUAAUUGGGCCAGUGGAUAUCAUCAGGGAAAGGGUGUUGAAGAGGAUAUAAUGGAUAUGAUUGACAGAGAAGCUGAUGGAAGUGAUAGUCUUGAGGGUUUUGUUCUAUGCCAUUCAAUAGCUGGAGGAACAGGCUCAGGUAUGGGUUCAUAUCUCUUGGAGACUCUGAAUGAUCGCUACAGCAAAAAACUUGUUCAGACAUACAGUGUAUUUCCUAACCAGAUGGAGACAAGUGAUGUUGUGGUCCAGCCAUACAACUCACUUUUGACACUCAAGCGACUAACACUAAAUGCUGAUUGUGUUGUUGUUCUUGAUAACACUGCACUUAAUAGAAUUGCUGUGGAGCGCCUUCACCUAUCAAAUCCUACCUUUGCUCAAACAAAUUCUUUGGUUUCUACUGUAAUGUCUGCAAGCACAACCACACUGCGGUAUCCAGGAUACAUGAACAAUGACCUAGUUGGCCUUCUUGCCUCUUUGAUUCCAACACCUAGGUGCCAUUUUCUAAUGACAGGAUAUACACCACUCACAGUGGAGCGCCAGGCUAAUGUGAUUCGUAAAACUACUGUACUAGACGUCAUGAGAAGACUUCUGCAGACCAAGAAUAUUAUGGUUUCCUCAUAUGCUCGUACAAAAGAAGCUAGUCAAGCAAAGUACAUAUCGAUUCUAAAUAUAAUUCAAGGAGAAGUGGACCCUACUCAGGUUCAUGAAAGUUUGCAGAGAAUACGUGAAAGAAAGCUUGUUAAUUUUAUUGAAUGGGGACCUGCAAGCAUUCAGGUUGCUCUAUCUAGGAAGUCUCCCUAUGUUCAAACUGCCCAUAGGGUCAGUGGUCUUAUGCUCGCUAGCCAUACAAGUAUCCGACACCUAUUCAGCAAAUGCCUGAGCCAGUACGAGAAGUUGAGAAAGAAGCAAGCCUUUCUUGACAACUAUAGGAAGUUCCCAAUGUUUGCUGACAAUGAUCUUUCAGAAUUUGAUGAAUCAAGAGACAUUAUUGAGAGUUUGGUUGAUGAAUACAAGGCAUGCGAGUCCCCAGACUAUAUUAAAUGGGGGAUGGAGGAUCCAGACCACAUUCUAACAGGAGAAGGCAAUGCUUCAGGGGCAGUGGAUCCAAAGUUAGCAGUGUGAACCAAGGUGGUGGGUGGUGUUGUCUCUUGAAUCAUUAUUAAGUGGGAGCGCUGUUCUGGCUGUUUCUUCAUUUCAUAGCUGACUAACUGUUUAAAUCUGUGGGAAAAACACCCCUUUUCGGAGCCUCUAUUUCCCCCAAGAAGUGAAGUGUAUAAGGGUUCAAGCAAACACCAACUUGAGGUUUUAGAGUGCUGCUAAAAGGGCUGAAGUGGGACUGUAAAGCGGAUUUACCUUUAUAUUUGAUUUCUUGGUGCCUUGUGGAACAUGGAAUGGUAUGUAAUGACAUUUAUCUUUGGGUGUUUCAUUUUGUUAAUCCCUUAUAUAUUCACAUAUCCCAGAGAGAAUGAAUACUGAGUCUCACUUUAUACAUGAGCUUUCCCAGCUUUAUUUUUAUA